GACUCGGUAGCUCAGGGGAAGAGCAGAGCAAAAUAUACUUGAUAUUCUUGCCCGGUUGCAGGUUCGAGUCCUGCCC
rnacentral:tRNA from 1 species